GCAGUCGUGGCCGAGUGGUUAGGCGAUGGACUAGAAAUCCAUUGGGGUCUCCCCGCACAGGUUCGAAUCCUGUCGACUGCG
rnacentral:tRNA from 1 species